AACGAACGCUGGCGGCAGGCUUAACACAUGCAAGUCGAACGCAUCGCAAGAUGAGUGGCAGACGGGUGAGUAACGCGUGGGAAUCUACCCUUUUCUACGGAAUACCGCAUGGAAACGUGUGCUAAUACCGUAUACGCCCGGGGACGGGGAAAGAUUUAUCGGCGAAGGAUGAGCCCGCGUUGGAUUAGCUAGUUGGUGGGGGAAGGGCCUACCAAGGCGACGAUCCAUAGCUGGUCUGAGAGGAUGAUCAGCCACAUUGGGACUGAGACACGGCCCAAACUCCUACGGGAGGCAGCAGUGAGGAAUAUUGGACAAUGGGCGCAAGCCUGAUCCAGCCAUGCCGCGUGAGUGAUGAAGGCCCUAGGGUUGUAAAGCUCUUUCACCGGUGAAGAUAAUGACGGUAACCGGAGAAGAAGCCCCGGCUAACUUCGUGCCAGCAGCCGCGGUAA
rnacentral:rRNA from 1 species